rnacentral:lncRNA from 1 species
GAGAGUUCUGCCGCCCAUCGGUGCCCUUUUCGACCCUAAGCAUUCUUUGCGUCAAUCCUCGCCAUCUCCGUCGGCUCCCCGCCUUCAUCGGGCCAAUCUAGGUUGGUCCCAAAACCUCUCUUGUCAUCGCUGUUGUUCCUUCCUCUUCUUGCUUUGUUUGUUCAGCUUCCGAGGGUUUAUUCGCAAUCUCUCCCGAUCUUUCGGGAUUUCCUUCUUUCUUUUCCCUUGCUGCAGGCACGGACGU